GCUGGGAUAGCUCAGUAGGUAGAACAUGAGGCUCUUCAUCUCAGGGUCAUGGGUUCAAGCCCCAAGAUUUCUGCA